rnacentral:rRNA from 1 species
AUGCCACCGGGAGGAAGCCACCGCGCAAGAGGUCAGGGGCCGCCACCACCGCGAGCUAGUGGACGCCCGUGGCGAGCCUUUGGGCAGGAAGCCGACGGGGAGCACGCAACAAAGCCGCGCCCGCUGCCAGGGUCUUCCCGCUGGAGGUGGAGGAGCAGGGGAUCCCGCCAGAUCCGAGGCGUGAGGGCGCGGCGGCGACCUGCAGGCAAAGGGCGACGGCUGGGGCGCUCGAUUCGGUCCAGUGCCAUGAGCCUCUCCCUGCAGGGUAGAGAGAAGAUGGGGGAAAGAGAGAAGGAAGGAGAUGAGGGAGAAAAGGAGAGGAAAGAGGAGAGGGAGGUGCAGCGGCAGAUGAAGAGGAACACCGCCCCUCCUCUACGGCACCCCCUCGCCGCGGUUGGAUAUGCAGCCUUGUCGGCGUCUCCUUCCCCUCGCCGGAGAUGCAGCUUCGCCGCGUCUCCUGCCCCUCGACCAAGGAUCUAG